GACGAACGCUGGCGGCGUGCCUAAUACAUGCAAGUAGAACGCUGAAGAGAGGAGCUUGCUCUUCUUGGAUGAGUUGCGAACGGGUGAGUAACGCGUAGGUAACCUGCCUGGUAGCGGGGGAUAACUAUUGGAAACGAUAGCUAAUACCGCAUAAAAUUGAUUAUUGCAUGAUAAUUAAUUGAAAGAUGCAACUGCAUCACUACCAGAUGGACCUGCGUUGUAUUAGCUAGUUGGUGAGGUAACGGCUCACCAAGGCGACGAUACAUAGCCGACCUGAGAGGGUGAUCGGCCACACUGGGACUGGGACACGGCCCAGACUCCUACGGGAGGCAGCAGGAGGGAAACUUCGGCAAUGGGGGGAACCCUGACCGAGCAACGCCGCGUGGGUGAAGAAGGUUUUCGAAUCGUAAAGCUCUGUUGUAAGAGAAGAACGGGUGUGAGAGUGGAAAGUUCACACUGUGACGGUAUCUUACCAGAAAGGGACGGCUAACUACGUG
rnacentral:rRNA from 1 species